AGUAGUUUGAUCCGUGGCUCAAGAACGAACGCUGGCGGCGUGCUUAACACAUGCAAGUCGAACGCGAAAGCGGCUUCGGCCGUGAGUAGAGUGGCGCACGGGUGAGUAACGCGUAGAUAACCUGUCUUCAUAUCUGGGAUAACACGCCGAAAGGGGUACUAAUACCGGAUAUACUCGCAUUUCAAUAGGUGAGGCGAAGGAAAGGUGGCCUCUGAUUCAAGCUACUGUAUGAAGAGGGGUCUGCGUACCAUUAGCUAGUAGGUGGGGUAAUGGCCUACCUAGGCGACGAUGGUUAGCGGGUCUGAGAGGAUGAUCAGCCACAUUGGGACUGAGACACGGCCCAGACUCC
rnacentral:rRNA from 1 species